rnacentral:rRNA from 1 species
GACAGAGGUGCCGAGCGUUAGGCGGAAUCACUGGGCUUAAAGCGUGUGUAGGCGGGCCGUUAAGUACCUUGUGAAAUCCCCCGGCUCAACCGGGGAACGGCUGGGUAUACUGGCGGCCUUGAGAGGCCUAGGGGCGAGCGGAACAAGCGGUGGAGCGGUGAAAUGCGUAGAUAUUGGGAGGAACACCAGUGGCGAAGGCGGCUACCUGGACCGGUUCUGACGCUGAGGCGCGAAAGCGUGGGGAGCAAACAGG